rnacentral:rRNA from 1 species
AGAAUCAACGCUGGCGGCGUGCCUAACACAUGCAAGUCGAACGAGAAAGGGGUAGCAAUACCCUGAGUAAAGUGGCGAACGGGUGAGUAACACGUGGGCAACCUGCCCUUGGCUCUGGGAUAACUCCGAGAAAUCGGGGCUAAUACCGGAUAUGAAGUCGGAAGGCAUCUUCUGACUUGGAAAGUUUUUCGGCCAAGGAUGGGCCCGCGGCCUAUCAGCUUGUUGGUGGGUAAUGGCCUACCAAGGCGACGACGGGUA